GAGUUUGAUCCUGGCUCAGAUUGAACGCUAGCGGGAUGCCUUACACAUGCAAGUCGAACGGCAGCACGGACUCCGGUCUGGUGGCGAGUGGCGAACGGGUGAGUAAUGUAUCGGAACGUGCCUAGUAGCGGGGGGAUAACUACGCGAAAGCGUAGCUAAUACCGCAUACGCCCUACGGGGAAAGCAGGGGAUCGCAAGACCUUGCACUAUUAGAGCGGCCGAUAUCGGAUUAGCUAGUUGGUGGGUAACGGCUCACCAAGGCGACGAUCCGUAGCUGGUUUGAGAGGACGACCAGCCACACUGGGACUGAGACACGGCCCAGACUCCUACGGGAGGCAGCAGUGGGGAAUUUUGGACAAUGGGGGAAACCCUGAUCCAGCCAUCCCGCGUGUGCGAUGAAGGCCUC
rnacentral:rRNA from 1 species